GACGAACGCUGGCGGCGUGCUUAACACAUGCAAGUCGAACGGAAAGGCCCUGCUUUUGUGGGGUGCUCGAGUGGCGAACGGGUGAGUAACACGUGAGUAACCUGCCCUUGACUUUGGGAUAACUUCAGGAAACUGGGGCUAAUACCGGAUAGGAGCUCCUGCUGCAUGGUGGGGGUUGGAAAGUUUCGGCGGUUGGGGAUGGACUCGCGGCUUAUCAGCUUGUUGGUGGGGUAGUGGCUUACCAAGGCUUUGACGGGUAGCCGGCCUGAGAGGGUGACCGGCCACAUUGGGACUGAGAUACGGCCCAGACGCCUACGGGAGGCAGCAGUGGGGAAUAUAGCACGAUGGGCGGAAGCAGGAUGCAGCAACGCCGCGUGCGGGAUGACGGCCUUCGGGUUGUAAACCGCUUUCGCCUGUGACGAAGCGUGAGUGACGGUAAUGGGCAAAGAAGCACCGGCUAACUACGU
rnacentral:rRNA from 1 species